rnacentral:rRNA from 1 species
CAAGUCGAACGAGUUUCCGGGCUUGCUCGGAAACUAGUGGCGAACGGCUGAGUAACGCGUAGGUGACCUACCCCGUAGUGUGGAAUAACUGCCCGAAAGGGUAGCUAAUACCGCAUGUUGAGCCGACAUCAAUGUCGUCUCCAAAGCAGAAAUGCGCUAUGGGCGGGGCCUGCGUUCGAUUAGCUAGUUGGUGGGGUAAUGGCUCACCAAGGCGACGAUCGAUAGGUGGUCUGAGAGGACGAUCACCCAGACUGGGACUGAGACACGGCCCAGACUCCUACGGGAGGCAGCAGUCGGGAAUUUUGCGCAAUGGGGGAAACCCUGACGCAGCAAUACCGCGUGUGGGAUGAAGGCCUUCGGGUCGUAAACCACUUUUUUCGGGGACGAUAAUGACGGUACCCGAAGAAUAAGCCACGGCUAACUACGUGCCAGCAGCCGCGGUAAUACGUAGGUGGCAAGCGUUGUCCGGAUUUACUGGGCGUAAAGCGCGCGCAGGCGGUGAAUGAAGUCGAAAGUGAAAGCCCCGAGCUCAACUCGGGAACUGCUUUCGAAACCAGUUCACUUGAAGGUGGAAGAGGGAAGUGGAAUUCCGAGUGUAGCGGUGGAAUGCGUAGAUAUUCGGAGGAACACCAGAGGCGAAGGCGACUUCCUGGUCCAAUCUUGACGCUGAGGCGCGAAAGCUAGGGGAGCAAACAGGAUUAGAUAUCCUGGUAGUCCUAGCUGUAAACGAUGGAUACUAGGUGUUGGAGGUUUUAACCCCUUCGGCGCCGCAGCUAACGCAUUAAGUAUCCCGCCUGGGGAGUACGGCCGCAAGGCUAAAACUCAAAGGAAUUGACGG